GAUGAACGCUGGCGGCGUGCCUAAUACAUGCAAGUCGAGCGAACAGACGAGGAGCUUGCUCCUCUGACGUUAGCGGCGGACGGGUGAGUAACACGUAGAUAACCUACCUAUAAGACUGGGAUAACUUCGGGAAACCGGAGCUAAUACCGGAUAAUAUAUUGAACCGCAUGGUUCAAUAGUGAAAGACGGUUUUGCUGUCACUUAUAGAUGGAUCCGCGCCGCAUUAGCUAGUUGGUAAGGUAACGGCUUACCAAGGCGACGAUGCGUAGCCGACCUGAGAGGGUGAUCGGCCACACUGGAACUGAGACACGGUCCAGACUCCUACGGGAGGCAGCAGUAGGGAAUCUUCCGCAAUGGGCGAAAGCCUGACGGAGCAACGCCGCGUGAGUGAUGAAGGUCUUCGGAUCGUAAAACUCUGUUAUUAGGGAAGAACAAAUGUGUAAGUAACUAUGCACGUCUUGACGGUACCUAUCAGAAAGCCACGGCUAACUACGUG
rnacentral:rRNA from 1 species